GACGAACGCUGGCGGCGUGCCUAAUACAUGCAAGUAGAACGCACAGUUUAUACCGUAGCUUGCUACACCAUAGACUGUGAGUUGCGAACGGGUGAGUAACGCGUAGGUAACCUGCCUGGUAGCGGGGGAUAACUAUUGGAAACGAUAGCUAAUACCGCAUAAUAUUGAUUAUUGCAUGAUAAUUAAUUGAAAGGUGCAAUUGCACCACUACCAGAUGGACCUGCGUUGUAUUAGCUAGUAGGUGAGGUAACGGCUCACCUAGGCGACGAUACAUAGCCGACCUGAGAGGGUGAUCGGCCACACUGGGACUGAGACACGGCCCAGACUCCUACGGGAGGCAGCAGUAGGGAAUCUUCGGCAAUGGACGAAAGUCUGACCGAGAAACGCCGCGUGAGUGAAGAAGGUUUUCGGAUCGUAAAGCUCGGUUGUAAGAGAAGAACGGGUGUGAGAGUGGAAAGUUCACAAUGUGACGGUAUCUUACCAGAAAGAGACGGCUAACUACGUG
rnacentral:rRNA from 1 species